UUUCCAGUUUCAAGAUGGCACCCCCACCCAAAAGGAGUACUUCUGGGGCAAGAGGAGGGAUGUCCAGUGGCAAAGAGCAGAGUACGGCAAAGGCAAAAUACUUCAAAGGAAAAAAUUGUUAUGAACUGCUGUCACCUGAUUUCUGCACCAGUCACCUUGCACAUGCUCUCUUUUAUUCAGAUCAUAAUCUGAGUAAAUGGUAGGCAUGUAAAAGACAUGUAAAAUCAACAUUAACCAAAGACAGAUUUCUAAGCAAAAAGGACUCAUGGGCAGAUUUGCAUGGAGCAUUAAUGGUCUGCUGAUCCCAAAUUGUGAGCCUUCAUCUCUAUGAAGAAUAGAGGUAUGAAAAAUGACAGUGUCCUUGCAAGCUUACACUAUUUCUUUGGAAGACAAGCAUGGAAAUUUUUAAGCAAUCUUGCCCUCUCUUCCACAAAAAGUCUACCUGAAGAAAGGAAAACAGGAAGAUAGAGCACGGGUUUAAAUAAAGAAGAUGCAGGAGACAGGACAGUAUCAAGUUUUGAAAAGUUCAAGGUCAAAUUCAGCCCUAGAAUCAACAUGUAGCAACAGUGGAAUUGGGUGUGGGGGAAUUUUUAAUCAGCAUCAGCCUUGCAAUUGCUCUCUAUGAAGUGGAAGUCCUACACCGUGCAGAGGAUCUGCUCAAAGGUUAAAACUUUUUAGUUAAUAUGAACUGGUUUUCCUAUGCAGUUGGUUUGGCAGUGAUAUCCUUGCUGCAACUUGAGCCCAUUGCUCCUUGUUCUGGCUUUCUCUUGGGAGGUGGGAGAUGUAACUUUGAACCCCUUCAGGUGGAGAAGAGCCUAGAACUCAAGUCUUCCACUUCCUGGGAGACUUUAUUAUAAGAAGGGUCCAGAGACCAACUAAUACUGCCUUGAUGUCAGAAGAGGGAUAUCAUCAUGAGAGAUGUCAGAAGACCCAUUAUUUUUCUGGAAAUUGAAAAAUCAGGCCUGGGCAUCCCUGUCAUCAAUUAUCUCUCUUCACCUGAUUUGUCCAUAAGCCAGCUGUGUUUUCUCAGUGUGCAUUUUGUAUUGAUGGAAAGAUACUGAUGAGUGUAGCAAUAGCUGAGUACCUUAGGUUCUGAAAGAUUCAUCUGGAAAGCUUCUCAUUUCUAUGCCUCUCCCCAGAAUUAACACCUCUGAAGAUAAGCUUGAUCAUGAAAGUCGCUGCGAAGUUGAAUGAUUAAAUUUAUUCAUAGUCAA